CUUAAUACAUGCAAGUCGUGGGGCAGCAUGAGUAGCAAUACUUGAUGGCGACCGGCAAACGGGUGAGGAACACGUACACCAACCUUCCUUCAAGCGGGGAAUAGCCCAGAGAAAUUUGGAUUAAUACCCCAUAAUAUAUUUGAUAAGGCAUCUUAUUAAUAUUAAAGCUUCGGCACUUGAUGAUGGGUGUGCGGCUGAUUAGAUAGUUGGCGGGUAACGGCCCACCAAGUCUACGAUCAGUAGCUGAUGUGAGAGCAUGAUCAGCCACACGGGCACUGAGACACGGGCCCGACUCCUACGGGAGGCAGCAGUAAGGAAUAUUGGACAAUGGACGAAAGUCUGAUCCAGCCAUGCCGCGUGAAGGAUUAAGGUCCUCUGGAUUGUAAACUUCUUUUAUAUGGGACGAAAAAAGGGCAUUCUUGUUCACUUGACGGUACCAUAUGAAUAAGCACCGGCUAACUCCGUG
rnacentral:rRNA from 1 species